rnacentral:rRNA from 1 species
GAUGAACGCUGGCGGCGUGCCUAAUACAUGCAAGUCGAGCGAACAGACGAGGAGCUUGCUCCUCUGACGUUAGCGGCGGACGGGUGAGUAGCACGUGGAUAACCUACCUAAGACUGGGAUAACUUCGGGAAACCGGAGCUAAUACCGGAUAAUAUAUUGAACCGCAUGGUUCAAUAGUGAAAGACGGUUUUGCUGUCACUUAUAGAUGGAUCCGCGCCGCAUUAGCUAGUUGGUAAGGUAACGGCUUACCAAGGCAACGAUGCGUAGCCGACCUGAGAGGGUGAUCGGCCACACUGGAACUGAGACACGGUCCAGACUCCUACGGGAGGCAGCAGUAGGGAAUCUUCCGCAAUGGGCGAAAGCCUGACGGAGCAACGCCGCGUGAGUGAUGAAGGUCUUCGGAUCGUAAAACUCUGUUAUUAGGGAAGAACAAAUGUGUAAGUAACUAUGCACGUCUUGACGGUACCUAAUCAGAAAGCCACGGCUAACUACGUG